rnacentral:rRNA from 1 species
CCUUCAGUUUGUCAAGACAUACCUCCGAUACUCUAUUUUUAAUAAAGUAACAAUCUUCCUAUAAGAAAUCUUCAAUUAAAUGAUAAAAUCAAUCACACCAACAUCCAUAAUCCCAACAGUACACUUUGAAUCCUUGAACGAGGAUCCAUUGAAGGGCAAGUCUGGUGCCAGCAGCCGCGGUAAUUCCAGCUCCAAURGYGUAUAUURAAKUUGUUGCGGUUAAAAAGCUCGUAGUUGAAUCUGUGUCCCACGCUGUCGGUUCACAGCUUGCGGUGUCUAGCUGGCAUGAUUGUGGGACGUCCUACCGGUGGGCUUAGCCCUCCGGGGCGGCCCAACUAAUAUCCCAUCGCGGUGCUCUUCACUGAGUGUCGAGGUGGGCCGGUACGUUUACUUUGAACAAAUUAGAGUGCUUAAAGCAGGCUAUUUUCGCCUGAAUACUGUGUGCAUGGAAUAAUGGAAUAGGACCUCGGUUCUAUUUUGUUGGUUUUCGGAACCCCGAGGUAAUGAUUAAUAGGGACAGAUGGGGGCAUUCGUAUUGCGACGUUAGAGGUGAAAUUCUUGGAUCGUCGCAAGACGGACAGAAGCGAAAGCAUUUGCCAAAAAUGUUUUCUUUAAUCAAGAACGAAAGUUAGAGGUUCGAAGNGGUUCGAAGGCGAUCAGAUACCGCCCUAGUUCUAACCAUAAACGAUGCCAGCUAGCGAUCCGCCGAAGUUCCUCCGAUGACUCGGCGGGCAGCUUCCGGGAAACCAAAGCUUUUGGGUUCCGGGGGAAGUAUGGUUGCAAAGCUGAAACUUAAAGGAAUUGACGGAAGGGCACCACCAGGAGUGGAGCCUGCGGCUUAAUUUGACUCAACACGGGAAACCUCACCAGGCCCGGACACCGGAAGGAUUGACAGAUUGAGAGCUCUUUCUUGAUUCGGUGGGUGGUGGUGCAUGGCCGUUCUUAGUUGGUGGAGCGAUUUGUCUGGUUAAUUCCGAUAACGAACGAGACUCUAGCCUGCUAAAUAGGCGUACCUUCCGGUAUCUCGAAGGCCCCCGGCCUCGGUCGGGCGGUUUUUACUACCGGCGUACAAAUAAAUCUUCUUAGAGGGACAGGCGGCUUCUAGCCGCACGAGAUUGAGCAAUAACAGGUCUGUGAUGCCCUUAGAUGUUCUGGGCCGCACGCGCGCUACACUGAAGGAAUCAGCGUGUCUUCCCUGGCCGAAAGGCCCGGGUAACCCGCUGAACCUCCUUCGUGCUAGGGAUUGGGGCUUGCAAUUAUUCCCCAUGAACGAGGAAUUCCCAGUAAGCGCGAGUCAUAAGCUCGCGUUGAUUACGUCCCUGCCCUUUGUACACACCGCCCGUCGCUACUACCGAUUGAAUGAUUUAGUGAGGUCUUCGGACUGGUACGCGGCAAUGUCUCGGCAUUGCCGAUGUUGCCAGGAAGAUGACCAAACUUGAUUAUUUAAAGAAAGUAAGAAUCGUAACAAGGUUUCCGUAGGUGAAACUGCGGAAG